rnacentral:rRNA from 1 species
ACGCUGGCGGCGUGCCUAAUACAUGCAAGUCGAGCGGACAGAUGGGAGCUUGCUCCCUGAUGUUAGCGGCGGACGGGUGAGUAACACGUGGGUAACCUGCCUGUAAGACUGGGAUAACUCCGGGAAACCGGGGCUAAUACCGGAUGGUUGUCUGAACCGCAUGGUUCAGACAUAAAAGGUGGCUUCGGCUACCACUUACAGAUGGACCCGCGGCGCAUUAGCUAGUUGGUGAGGUAACGGCUCACCAAGGCNACGAUGCGUAGCCGACCUGAGAGGGUGAUCGGCCACACUGGGACUGAGACACGGCCCAGACUCCUACGGGAGGCAGCAGUAGGGAAUCUUCCGCAAUGGACGAAAGUCUGACGGAGCAACGCCGCGUGAGUGAUGAAGGUUUUCGGAUCGUAAAGCUCUGUUGUUAGGGAAGAACAAGUGCCGUUCAAAUAGGGCGGCACCUUGACGGUACCUAACCAGAAAGCCACGGCUAACUACGUGCCAGCAGCCGCGGUAAUACGUAGGUGGCAAGCGUUGUCCGGAAUUAUUGGGCGUAAAGGGCUCGCAGGCGGUUUCUUAAGUCUGAUGUGAAAGCCCCCGGCUCAACCGGGGAGGGUCAUUGGAAACUGGGGAACUUGAGUGCAGAAGAGGAGAGUGGAAUUCCACGUGUAGCGGUGAAAUGCGUAGAGAUGUGGAGGAACACCAGUGGCGAAGGCGACUCUCUGGUCUGUAACUGACGCUGAGGAGCGAAAGCGUGGGGAGCGAACAGGAUUAGAUACCCUGGUAGUCCACGCCGUAAACGAUGAGUGCUAAGUGUUAGGGGGUUUCCGCCCCUUAGUGCUGCAGCUAACGCAUUAAGCACUCCGCCUGGGGAGUACGGUCGCAAGACUGAAACUCAAAGGAAUUGACGGGGGCCCGCACAAGCGGUGGAGCAUGUGGUUUAAUUCGAAGCAACGCGAAGAACCUUACCAGGUCUUGACAUCCUCUGACAAUCCUAGAGAUAGGACGUCCCCUUCGGGGGCAGAGUGACAGGUGGUGCAUGGUUGUCGUCAGCUCGUGUCGUGAGAUGUUGGGUUAAGUCCCGCAACGAGCGCAACCCUUGAUCUUAGUUGCCAGCAUUCAGUUGGGCACUCUAAGGUGACUGCCGGUGACAAACCGGAGGAAGGUGGGGAUGACGUCAAAUCAUCAUGCCCCUUAUGACCUGGGCUACACACGUGCUACAAUGGACAGAACAAAGGGCAGCGAAACCGCGAGGUUAAGCCAAUCCCACAAAUCUGUUCUCAGUU